rnacentral:lncRNA from 1 species
AAAAAGCAUAAUAAAAACAUUAAUAAAUAAACAAAUACAUCAUUUUCCAGUUGUAGAUCUUGUGCAUCUUAUAGUCUGAGACGCUGGAAGGAUACUUGGAACUCCAAAUGCAGGUCGAUGUCUAUCCAUCGAGACAUUGUCAGUUCUUGAUCUAAAGUCCAAUUUAUAGUAACGAUCGUGCCUCUCAAUCACCUUAAACGGGCCCAAGAAAGUUGGAAAAUGAGACUCUUUUAUAGGUUUAUUUUUAACAAAAACGAAUUCAGUUUUUUUUAAUUGUUUGUUAAUGGGUCCUUUAUUAAAGUGUCUCGGAGGAACGUGUGUUAUUUUCUCCAUUGUUUUAAAGAAACUUUCGGCGUCGAGGUUGCCAGAAGUAUAGGUGGACGCGUUAAAGAAAUUAAAGGCCAUGGAUCCUGAGCGGCCUGUGAGUAAUUGAAAAGCAUUCGUGUAACUAGCCCGGUCUUAAAUGAUCUGUGGAUCAUGAGUUUUAUGAGUCCGUUGGACUCUGGAUUAUACGAGGAUGUGUUUUUGCUGGCAAUCCCAAGUGUCCUGCAAACACUGAUCCACUGCGUUCCUCGGUCAGAAACAAUGGUUUCUGGAACUCAAACCUCGAAAUCAAACCACUUAAAAAAUUAUUGGAGGUUAUAUCUGUGAUAGGUAUCACUUCUGGCCACCUUGUGAAACGAUCCAUAAUAGUUAGGACAUACCAAUAUCCCUGAAUUAGUGGGAAUGGACCAAUUAUGUCUAUGUGAAUAAAGAAAAGUCUUUCAGAUGGAGGACCGAAAGACAACGUUGGUUUCGAUUUCCUGAAAAGUUUGGUUUUAUGCCACGCUAUACACUCUCUAGUAAAGUUUCUGAUGUCUGCUCGCAAAUUAGGCCAAGCUUAAAAAAAUGAAGCCCUCCUUAACGUUUCUUUGAAUCCCGGAUGAUUGCCCUUCUGUACAGAAUGCACUAUUCUUUGACGCAAUUCUGGAGAUGACACAGCCACACGGAAUGCGUCAGCAUUGCCUAAACUGUCAAAAAGAAUGUCUGCAGUAUGAUUUAAUUUUCCCGAAACGUGUUCGAUAUCACAAUUGAAUUCUGCUAUUAAUGCAAAAGUACUGAACUGUCUUGGUGUCCAAGAGGGAUUGAGAAUGUCAAUUGCAGUGACUGAAGGGAGAGGAUCAUACCAGCUGUUUUAAGUCUGGAUAAAACCAAGUUCAACGUUUUCCAAUACUCAUCCAUCGACUCCGAAGCGACAAGGAUAUCAUCAAGGUACACAAACACAUUUGGAAUUCCUCGUAGAAUUGAAUCGAUGAGUCUCUGAAAUGUCUGAGUAGCAUUUUUAAGACAAAAAGGUAUCCUCAAAUAUUCAUAAAAACCAAAUGGCGUAAUGAUUGCAGUUUUAUUUAUAGAAGUGCUAUUCAUAGAUUAGCCACCAAAUCUCUUAGAUUUGGUAGGGGAUAACGAUCAAUGUCCGUCAUCCUAUUUAAUUGACAAUAGUCACCGCACAUUCGCCAGCUUCCUUUGGGCUUUGGAACGAGGUGAAUAGCGGAAGAAAAAUUAGCAGAAGACGAUCGUAGGAUUCCUUUCUUCAACAAAUUGUUGAUUUCGUCUCGUACAAAAUUUGACUUCUAACCAUCUAACUUGCGCGAUUUUGCAAAGCAAGGAGGUCCUCCUUGCUUUGCUUUCGUCUCGAUAUGGUGUUCAACUCCGUGAGCUGGAUGAGUUUCAAUGAAACUUUUAUUAUCAAAGACAUCAUUAUAUUUUUAAUUUGAUUUCUUGAAUCUUCGAUAGUUCUGAAAUGAAGCACGGUUAAUCUUGGAAUUACUUUUAUUGAAAAUAUUAAUUCCAAAUCUGAAAUUAUAUAAAAAAUCUGCAUUCAAAAUUGGACAACCACUUUGUACCACAAUAAAUUUCCAUUGGAAAUCUCCUACAUUUUCUAGAUUUAGAGUCAAAGUUGUUGUACCAAUAACAUCGACAAUGGCUCCUUCAUAUCCAAUAAUAGGGGAGAGUUUUUCUCAAACAAGACUUUCACAUUUUUUUAAUGGAAUAACAGACACUUGCGCUCCUGUAUCUACCAGAAAGUUAAUCAAAUUUGAAUUGUCUUUGAUGAAAAAUAAGUUUGAUGAUUUAUUUACAACCUCGGUCCCGUGCAACCGAGGGCAAUUUAGUUUUUUGAAACAAGUACAAAAAAAUGGCAACUAGCUCCUGAACAGAUUUAGUAAACUUGGACUUGCUAUGAAGAGGUUUUUUUAGAACAUGAUUGAUAGGAGGCGAAGCGGACGAGUCUUCAACAGUGGAAAUAUGUGAAUUGCUAAGUUAUUUUUCCCGCACCACACAUUUGCUUCAACUGAAUGGGACUGUACUCUCAAGUACCCUUGCUGGUCUUUAGGCACAUUUCUGAUGAGGGCCUCCCGUAGUAAAUGAUGACGCAAACCAUGGAUGUAUUCCUCAUCAAUGAGACACUCAACUUCAUCUAUAACUUCCCCCAGGCGAAAAUCCCGAUGAAUCGUACGGCAUAUCAAAAAAUUUUAAAUUCUAUCUGAAGGAAUAAACCUAAAAACUUCACCAGGUAAUGCUGAAGCCAUUAAACAAUAUUUGGUCUGAUCUUCAUUGAUCUUCCUCAUCAAAAAAUCCAGCUCAAUUCUUGGAAACCAAUUUUCCGGAUCCAUCGCCGAUAAUUUUGGAAGACGUAGUUCUGCUGCGGCAAGAGUUAAGUUGCUGACCUCUUCUGCUACGUACUUUUUUUCGAUCUGAGUGACAUUGUACGCAUGGUCUUGACCAUCAAAAUGAGAUUUUUUAGGAGGCAGGAUAUCACCUCGGGGUUACCAACGUUAAGAUUUAAAUAUCUUUAUUUUAACGGAGUAAAAAUGAUCAUUCCUUUAUACGAAAAUAAAAAGGAUACAAGGUGCUACGAUGAAUAUUUAAUAUCAUCUAAACAAGUCGGACUUCUACAUAUAUACCCUAGGACUUCAUGAAUAAAAGGACUAAGCAAUUUUCUUUUCUCUCGCGUGAGGCGUACAUGAGCUGG